GAUACCCAAGACCUGCACCUGCUUUGCCCACGGGGCUGCUGCUUCCUGGGGUCCUGGUGCUGACUACUUGUGGCUUUCAUACCCUCCACCCCCAUUCAUAGUCCUCGGGCCAAACAAGUUCAGUUUCUUCUACUUAUGGGGUUGCCCUGAAAUCCAUCUGGCACCAGGCUUCUAAAGGACACCCACCAGCCAGACCCUAUAACCCUCCUUCACAUCCACAGAGGAAAAUCAAGACUGGGGAUGGAAAACAGAGCUCGGCUUUCUCAUCCUGAGGACAGCGACCUCGCUUCUUAUCUCAGUGGCAGCUCCCAUCUCUCUUGUGCCUUGCGCUGGAUCUUCUCCCAGACGAAAACGAAGAACAAAGAAAAGGCCAUCGAGUCUCCUCUCUGACCACUGGAAGAAAGGUAGAGAAAAAGAAAAAUAGGCUGAACAAAGAGAGGACACAUCUCCCUCCUCCUUCUUUUUCUCCCCCACCCACAGCAAAAUCUAAUAAAGAUGAUUAAAUUAC